UUCCUUCCCUCUACAGCGGUCCCAUCAGGACAUCUAUAAACCAUGGAGUUUCAGGUGCAAGGUUGGAAAUCCACAGGAACUCACUCUCAUGUGUGCAUCAUUCAGUGAUUUCUCCACACACAGUGGGCUGUCAGAUACAUUUAUAGCUUUUUUUCUUUACAUUGUGCAUCCUUUUCUUGAGACAGCCCUGAUUGCUAUUCCAAUGUCAUCACAAACCCCCAGGAUGCUUGGAAGGCCAAGGAAUCAAGGUCAGCUGUAUCCACAGCCCUAGUCUCAAGCCUUCAUCCUCUUACCCGAUAGCAGGCGAUUCCCAGUCCUAGCCAGGAGAAAGUUUGGAGAGAAGUCCUUUUGAAGCCCAUGAUACCUUCUGUUAGAUAGAUGAGCCCCAGUCUCAGGAAGAUGAAGUGCAUCUCAGAAGCAUCCACUACAAAGCUAAUGGCAGACCUCCUAGAAUGCCCUUCUUCUCUGAGAGGAGGCUUCAAUUCUUCAGCUGCUCUACCUGUGACUGCAUGGGAAGCUUCUGGAGGAUGUGCUCCACCAAAAUGAGGAAGCAAAGUAUGAAAGAGGAAGGCACAGAAUCCAAGAAAUGAUGCAUCUUGAAGUUAAAGGAGAUUUUCAGAAUCACAGCAAAGGAACAUCCCAGGAGAAGAGUUACCCAUCAGGCCUAGAGGGUAAGCACUGAGAACUGAAGAAGGAAGAUAGAAGACUUUGGAGGAAGAAAUAUCUCUAGGGGGGAAAAAUGGACUGAUGCAUUUUAACAUCUAUCUAUCUAUCUAUCUAUCUAUCUAUCUAUCUAUCUAUCUAUCUAUCAUCUAUCUAUUUUUUUGAGAUGGAGUCUUGCUCUGUCACCCAGGCUGGAGUGCAGUGGCGCAAUCUGAUCUCACUGCAACCUCCGCCUCCCAGGUUCAAGUGAUUCUCCUGCCUCAGCCUCCUGAGUUGCUGGGACUACAGGUGCCCACCACUACACCCAGCUAAUUUUUGUUUUUUUAGUAGAGACGGGUUUCGCCAUAUUUGCCAAGCUGGUCUUGAACCCCUGACCUCAGGUGAUCCACCCGCCUUGGCCUCCCAAAGUGCUGGGAUUACAGGUGUGAGCCACCGUGCCCGGCCAAACAUAUCAAAAACAUUGAUGGGCACUUGACAAUACUUUUGAAGCAUGCGGGGGAAAAAGGCAAAAGGAACACAGAAUACUAAGUUUUCUGAAUAAAUUAGGCAAUUUUUAGUUCUUGGAAAAAUAAAGCUAUAAAAGAACAAAAAAAUACAGAAAGUGGCUCAGCAGAGAAUAGCAUGUUUAUAGAAAUAAUAAUAUAAACAUUGAUAUUGAUGUGUCUUACCUGUCUAAUAUAUCUCAGGUUCUGUCAAUGCCAUAGACCCUCAGGUGCAUGCUCUGUAUCAGGCACUUUGGCAACUACUUCUCUAUGAGAGGCCCAGUCACAGUCCUGCUGCUAAGGCUGACUGCCAGCACUUGGGUUCAUGGAGUCCUACUACCUAGGAACUACUUAUUUCUUCACCAAAGAGAGCCAGGCCCUCCCCGACCCCUUGGUUGGACAGUUAGUUCAACCAGCCACAUAAUCUGAGUUCCUGGCUCUUCCCACCACUUCUGGAUUGGACAGAAUUCUACACUUUAGGGUAUGGCAUAUGACUUCUCAAGCAGGUACCAAAUGGAUCAGACUAUAGAACUUGGAAGUAUGGGUCCAAUUAACUCCACAGGUGAUUAAUUUUGACCAGCGGAAGAGAAGAGACAAAAUAACAGGUUCUCUUUCCUUCUUCCUUUCCAUAUUAUUCAGUCAUGGUUUCCCUAUAUAGCCUGAAUGCUUGGAGAUGUCCCACAAGACUAAGCAAGUUUACCUGCAAAGCAACCAGCUGCAUUCUUUGCAGUUUAUCAUAAUGAAAUGGCCAAUGUAGACAUAAGGUGUCACCUUACAUUGGUUCAUAUCCUUUGUUGCCUCUCUUACUGUUUUUUCCUCACUCUGCCUGUUCUGAAAUUAACUCUUCUAAUUAAAGUAUUAGCAUUAAA